GAUGAACGCUGACAGAAUGCUUAACACAUGCAAGUCAACUUGAAUUGGGUUUUAACUUAGAUUUGGGUGGCGGACGGGUGAGUAACGCGUAAAGAACUUGCCUCACAGCUAGGGACAACAUUUAGAAAUGAAUGCUAAUACCUGAUAUUAUGAUUUUAGGGCAUCCUAGGAUUAUGAAAGCUAUAUGCACUGUGAGAGAGCUUUGCGUCCCAUUAGCUAGUUGGAGAGGUAACGGCUCACCAAGGCGAUGAUGGGUAGCCGGCCUGAGAGGGUGAUCGGCCACAAGGGGACUGAGACACGGCCCUUACUCCUACGGGAGGCAGCAGUGGGGAAUAUUGGACAAUGGACCAAGAGUCUGAUCCAGCAAUUCUGUGUGCACGAUGAAGUUUUUCGGAAUGUAAAGUGCUUUCAGUUGGGAAGAAAAAAAUGACGGUACCAACAGAAGAAGUGACGGCUAAAUACGUGCCAGCAGCCGCGGUAAUACGUAUGUCACAAGCGUUAUCCGGAUUUAUUGGGCGUAAAGCGCGUCUAGGUGGUUAUGUAAGUCUGAUGUGAAAAUGCAGGGCUCAACUCUGUAUUGCGUUGGAAACUGUGUAACUAGAGUACUGGAGAGGUAAGCGGAACUACAAGUGUAGAGGUGAAAUUCGUAGAUAUUUGUAGGAAUGCCGAUGGGGAAGCCAGCUUACUGGACAGAUACUGACGCUGAAGCGCGAAAGCGUGGGUAGCAAACAGG
rnacentral:rRNA from 1 species